UUGGGAAUGAAGAGCAACUGGGUCAUAUUCGUGUCUUCAUUUCUGGCUUCAUGAUAUUUUUCAAGGUCAUGCCUUCAACAAUAAAGCUGUUCUUGCCUGGGAAGAGGAGCAGGGAACACACAUACUGCGUACCAAGAUUCUGUGAGUGAUGAACUUCUGCAGGCAACACGUUAUCACUGGCUAAAAACAUCUGCGUAAGUAUACAAGAACCCAAAGCAGACUAGGCUGGAAAGCCAGUGGGAUUCUUGUUGCUCCCCAGUUAGAACCAGAGGC
rnacentral:lncRNA from 1 species